CGCGCGCGCGCACGCUCCAGCCCAGAGGCAACGGCAGCGGCGGCAAGCCCGGGCAAAGCUCGCCCCAGCCAAGGCGAUUGUGUACGCCUCACAUGGUCAAAAGCAGGAGUUCCUUGGCUGCAGCUGUUGUUGCCAUGAUGAUGAUGUCACGGACCCAACCACCGCCGUUGGGUGACGGAAGGGGUGUGUUGGCGGUGCCGACCGAGAAGCGCAGGGAGGGCGGGCUGUUGCUUUCUUUUCCCCUCCCACCUCCAGCUUUAGCGCGAGAGUUUGGUUUCUACUUAGUGACAGGAGGCAUCGGUGGCUCGGCUUUCGGUCGCGCGGGCCUGGGUGGGAAUGAGAGAAGCCUGCGGAAUGCCGAAUCGCGGAUGGGCGGGGCAGCUUCGAGGCUUGGGUGGGGGCUGUUCAUGAUCAGGGUCCAUGUUUGGCCGCCAUUUCGGAAGCGCUUGUCUGUAGGAAAAGCUCCGGUUUCAUCUUUCUCAUCAAAUAUACUAGUGAGGCUCCUUCCAAGGAACCACAGGACAAUUUAAAGGAAGAUAGAAGCAUGUCAAAGAAUGAAAGUAGUUUUUUCCACCAACUAUUUAACAUUUGUUUUUCUUAUAUAAGCUCAUCUGAAUUUGUAGCUAUGAGUGAACUGGUAAAGUGUGCUUCAAAGAAAAUGAAGCAUGUGUGUGUGAAUGGUACUUAAAGCAAUAGAAUUUCAGGUUAUGGUUAAGUCUUGUGGAUUGUCGCGUAGGAUUGAUGCUUAAUUAUCUAAGGGUUGUGCUUAUGGAAAGGAAUAAUAAUAUUACUUUUGAAAAGACCACCAGGAAUGCAAACAAAAUUUUUGCUGUUUUGAUAGCUGGCUCUGUAAUGACUCUAUUGUGUGUGUGAACAUUUAACAACUAUAGCUUGAUUGGUGGUUCUGAUUAGCUUCAGUUUUGUGAUGGUACAUUUAAUGUCUAUUAGUGGUAGCAGCGGCAGAGCUAUUUUUCCCCCAAGCCCUGCAUGCUAAUAUGUUCUGGUACUCCCCAUUCAUAGUAAGUCUAACAGCUGGAAUUGGUUUGCAUUCAGUGACUUUGGAUGCAGUACAUAAUAAAUAGUUGUGAACUCCAUGUCACAACAGCGUAGAAAGUGACAUUUGGAAUAGAGAACAGUGGGCAAACAAAAUUUUGGCUACUGCUCGUUUUUUUCUAGUAGGAAGAAUUUGAUUUUAUUGCAGGUGCUGACAAUGAACACAUAAUUUUUGCUGCAGCUCUGUUUGCCAUUGGAAAAUGUAUGAAAGUAUGUAUUUUGAAACAAUCUGUGUUAUGUCCAGCAACCCUGAGUAUGGAAAAGCUGUCAACUUGAAUAUUUCAGUUGUUUCAACAAGUAAAAUAUGUAAUAAAUGAGGUCAGUUUUUUCUAGUGGAAACAUGACAAAAUUCUAUUUUGUUUAUUGAAUUAAAUAAAUGAACUUGUGUUUUCAGCUGCUUUGAAUGCUGAGGACCUUGCAUGAUCUCACAGUGCUGUGGAAACUGCAGGAACCGAUCAUCUCAGUCUAAGCAGAAAUUGUGAUGAGUUCUUAUCUUUCUGUUCUUAGUACUUUUGUCUCAAGCCUGCAAUGGCUUUCUUGAAAUUGGCAUCACAGUGCAGAUUCAUUUCAUUUCAUUUACUGCUCAUUUUCAGAUUUUACAAAAUGAUUCUCACAUUCUCUCAAAUGUUUAUUAGGUUGUUGUUCUUAUAUCUUAAUUUUCCUAGAUGAAUCUUUUCUUGUGAGUUUUAAGUAUGUUUUAAGCGAAAGUAGGAUCCCUUUAUUAUAGUGUACUGCUGCAAAAUAACUGUUAGCUUUUUUAAAUCACUCAACCUGUAAGACUUCUGAUUACAGGAAAUGGGAAAUAUGCAAGAACAGUGCUCUGAAUAAAGGUAAAGGGACCCCUGACCAUUAGGUCCAGUCGCGGAUGACUCUGGGGUUGUGGCGCUCAUCUCGCUUUAUUGGCCAAGGGAGCCGGCUUACAGCUUCCGGGGCAUGUGGCCAGCAUGACUAAGCCGCUUCUGGUGAACCAGAGCAGCACACGGAAACACCGUUUACCUUCCCACCGGAGCGUUACCUAUUUAUCUACCAGUACUUGCACUUCGUGCUUUCGAACUGCUAGGUUGGUAGAAAGUGCUCUGAAUACAGAGCUGUAAAUGAUAAAAUUAUGCCUAGUGUGAGUUUCAGUAGCAUCCCUCAAAUUGUGCUGUUUAUUCUGCAGUUAACUGUUAAUCUUUGCUAAUCUUUGCUAAUGUAAGCAAAUCUUUGCUAAUGUAAGCAUAUGUUAUAUUUAUAUUGAGGGUAACAUUUAAAAUGCUACGGAGAAUGCUGAUGUUCCUUUCCAUAUAUUCUGAUUGAAAAAAUAGCAGACCACAAUCACCCUUUUAAUAUAUUUAUUACAUAUUUGAGCUACAUCUAAAAUUCAGUAGAAGAAAACAGAAUUGUUUAUUAAUAUGUAAUUGGAAAAUGGAUUUAUCUGUUCUUUCAUUUGUCAUGUUAGAUCAGGUAUGUGGAACCUUUUGCCCUCCAGAUAUUCCUGACAGCUGGCCAGGGAUGAUGGAAGUUGUAGUUCAGCAGCAUCUGGAAGACCAAAGGUGCUGCACUCUUGGAAUAUGUAGUAUGUAUUUGCAGUAUUGUUUAGUUUUGAUUUGUAUUUGUGGCAAGGCUAUAUCAUUGUAAUUGUUAGAUUUCCUUUUUAUGCAUGCUUUUGAUAUUUAACAAAAUGGAUACCUGUAAAAAAAGUUACAGUUAAUGUUUUACUCAACCAUAUCUUACUGACUACACAAUAUUUAUAUAAGUAUCUCUUACAGAAUGAAAUAUAAUUUCUUGAAGUAUGAAACCCUAGCAUCUCAAACUAAACAGAGAGCUAAGAUAAUUUCAGUUCUGCUAAUGAGCAAACAAGAACAUGUCUUCUCAGUUAAAUGCAAAUCCAUUCCUCUCUGCUUGUAUGUCCUCACUUGAACUUGAUCCUUACAGAUCUGUAAACGAUUAUAACUCUUGCUAUAACUAGACCAAUAUGAGCGACUAUUUUUAGAACAGACUCCUUAUUUAGCCCACAUAGAACAGAAAGGAUUGUUUUCCACAGCUCAAUGAAAAAAGUAUAGCUUUUCCAAAUGUAACAUUAAACACUGUGUAACUUCUGCAGAAGUAGAGCUUCACUUCACGAAGCCAUGGUGUAAUUAAUUCCAGAUGUAAUUCUGUACUUAUUUGGCACCAUACCAGGGCAAAAUCUGGCCCUCAGCUAGUUAGCUACUUAUAUGCAGUCAAAAAACAAAACAAAAACACAAUUAACUGCACAAUCUUGCACAUGACUACUCAGGAGUAAGCCACAUUGAGUUUAAUAGGACCUACUCCCACAUGAGUAGGCAUAGAAUGGCAGCCUAAGAGAAGCAUUGUCGUGCUAGAAAGAAUACUUAAUAAGCAACUAGGUCUCUAACUUCAUAUGUGGAUUUCUAAAACAAAGGAAUACAGAAGCUAUUUUAUCACCAGAUGAGACUAUUUGUCCAUCCUUGUCCAUUGUCUGCUUUGUCAAUGACUCUUCUGUGUCUGAGGGCACUUCUCAAUUUACUAUUUUCAGGUCAGAUUCUGUCACAUACUGGCAAAUUCAGGUUGCUCAAUCAUAGUUGUGCAACAAACCUGCUUCCUCAAAAAUCAUACUUCUUGUGAUAAGGAAAGUGAUUGGAAAUGCACUGGAAAGUGUGAGAUAACACUGCUUUGAUGCAAUGUCAUCUAACUACCUCACAAACAAAUCGGAAUGAAUGCUCCUUCAAAAGCCAAAUGUCAUCUAAUUUCUGGGGGGGGGGAUCACAAAUGCUCAAUAAAUGGGUCAUCUGGGGGUGUGACAUGAGGUAAUCUUUCACAUCACUUGCUAUUGGAGAUAACAGGAACCAGAGUUAAAUGUCAGUAAUGUUAUUUCCUCAGCUUUGGUCAGUGAUUUAAAGCGGAGCUACGUGUUGUUCAACUGUGGUAUCUUAUUUUAUACUUCAGAUUCAGUAAUUAUGUAAUUGAGUAAAACAGUUUUUUUCACAUCACUGGUGGGGGGGGGAGAGGAUAUGCUCCCCUAAAGCCCCCCCCCCAAUGUGGCAGUAAUACUUUCAUACAUUGGAACUGGCAGGUGAACAGCAAAUUGUGAUUUGUUCAUUUUCUUAAGUUGUAGUAUAUGUUGUGUAUUAGACUUGAUAGGAUUUGGCGAGGCCAAGGUUUUAGAAUUUAGAUUGAGUACAUUAGCUUUUUUGUGCAUCUUCAUUCUGGUUGAGAAAAGGAAGCAUUCUCCAAAUGACUUUGGCUCUCUGUGAUCAGCUUGUUAUGCAUCCAGUGAUGCCUGUGAGAUUUAGUGUUUUAUCUGCUAGGAUUUCCACUGGCAACUGAGAAAACUCAUUAUGCACAUUUAUCACAUGAUCCACUUCAUUAGACAAAUAGAUCUGGGAGAAUAAGCUAUCCUCCUAGAAGACUCUUCAGAGGCUCCCACACAAACUGUUUACUGAUGGAUAGGCUUCUUUGGUCAGAAAACAAUGCAUUUCUUUGUAGUGAAGUGAAUGAUUCAGGAAGUUCAUUCUCCCCUAUCCUUAUUCAGAAGCUCAGAGAGGAAGCACGGAAAGGAACAUCGUCUCAAUGAAGCUACAGAGAACCUUUAGUAAUAAAGUGUAAAUCAAUGCACAGUUAGCUGUUAGCUAAAGCCUUCACAUUUGUACUGUGUACAAUGUACUGUGUACCAUGUACAUUGUAUUGCAUGGACACUGUGUCCAUGUGUUAGCUGGGCUUGAUAAAAAUGUGUUUCUUGCCGGGUUUUCUCCGAAAAUAAGACAUACCCCGAAAAUAAGCCAUA